rnacentral:rRNA from 1 species
AGGACGAACGCUGGCGGCGUGCUUAACACAUGCAAGUCGAACGGUGAACCGCUUUCGGGCGGGGAUCAGUGGCGAACGGGUGAGUAACACGUGGGUAACCUGCCCUCCACUCUGGGAUAACUCCGGGAAACCGGGGCUAAUACCGGAUACGACCUGAGGCGGCAUCGCCUCGGGUGGAAAGUUUUUCGGUGGAGGAUGGACCCGCGGCCUAUCAGCUUGUUGGUGGGGUAAUGGCCUACCAAGGCUUUGACGGGUAGCCGGCCUGAGAGGGCGACCGGCCACACUGGGACUGAGACACGGCCCAGACUCCUACGGGAGGCAGCAGUGGGGAAUAUUGCACAAUGGGCGAAAGCCUGAUGCAGCGACGCCGCGUGAGGGAUGACGGCCUUUGGGUUGUAAACCUCUUUCAGCAGGGACGAAGCGAAAGUGACUGUACCUGCAGAAGAAGCACCGGCUAACUACGCGCCAGCAGCCGC